rnacentral:rRNA from 1 species
UACGGAGGGUGCAAGCAUUAAUCGGAAUUAUUGGGCGUAAAGGGCGCGUAGGCGGGUAAGUAAGUCAGAUGUGAAAUUCCGGAACUCAAUUCCGGAGCUGCAUUUGAAACUACCUAUCUUGAGGAUUGGCGGAGAGAACGGAAUUCCACGUGUAGCGGUGAAAUGCGUAGAUAUGUGGAAGAACACCGGUGGCGAAAGCGGUUCUCUAGCUAAUAACUGACGCUGAGGCGCGAGAGCAAGGGGAU